UAAACCCCAGGUCCAUGAGGGUU
rnacentral:piRNA from 1 species